AUCACCCAAACCAAAACUUAUCUUGUUCUCCUCCUCAUUUUCUUCUGAACAGAGAUCUUGGGAAUCAAAAUCCUAUGUCCCUCUCCCUCAGCGAAAACUUGUGAACCAAUAUUAUCCUCAGCUAAACCUAGAUCUGUUAAAAUCAAAACUGUCCUUUGUAGAUAUAAAUCAAAUUCAAUUUGCUAUAAAUCAAAACCCAUCAGAAAUCAAACCUAAUUUCACUUACCAAAAUUUCGUUUUAAACAAACUCAAUUUGCUAUAAAUCAAAACCCGUCAGAAAUCAAACCUAAUUUCACUUACCCAAAUUUCGCUUUAAACCCUAGAUAUGUGAUUUUUGCUUAAAUGAAAUGCGUUUACCGGUGAAACCCUUAUUUCAUUGUAAUUGAUUUUGUGAGUCAAGUUUAUUUUGCAUAGUUGAAUACCAACCUCAAUGAAAACUCUCUGAUCUGAAAUUUUAUUUAUGUGAAUCUUAUUUUACAUCACGAAAAAUACGAAGAAGAUGCGAGCUGAGAAUAGAGAAAGAAGAGGGGGAUCGAAUUUGAUUGGUGGUAGUUGCUUCAGAUGGUGGAGUUUAGGAGUGUUUGCAAUGGUUUUCAGGUGAGGAAUGGUAGAGAUAAUGCAUAGAACUGCUGGUGUUUGGAGCAACAGAAGAUGAAAUGGGUUUUGCAGUUUUAGUCUGAAGUUGAAGUUACAGGUUCAGGAUAUGGAUUUGGUUACUGCUAAUGGAUGGAGAAGAUAUGUACUGAAAUGGCAGUUUCUGGUGGUUAUGUUGGUGAUUGAUUGUUGAGGAAUCUGAGAUGGAGAUGGAACUGCUAGUGUUGAUGAGAUGGUUUGUUUUUGAAGCUGUAUGUGGAUAAAAUGCAGAGAAACAGUGGGUUAUAUUUUUGCUGAUGCUUAGAGCCUGUGCUGAUGCAGUGGAUGUAUGAGAUGGAGAUGGUUGAGCAGCAGAGAGGCCUCGAAAUGUGCUGUGCUUGAAUCUUAUUGUUAUCAACAGAAUGGACUGUCUUGGUGAUGUGUAAACAAGGAAGAACAACAAAUAUGGUGUUGCAGUUGAAUGAAUGGGUUGAGCUGAUGUUGAGGAAUGAGAUGAAUUUCAGUAGUGACCUCCGCUAAAGGUCAAUCACUUGCUGACGAGUAUUCCAGAAGUGCUCAAUACCUUGCGUAUUUUGGUGGAAAUGUUGGGUUACGGUAUGCUGAAAGUUGUCCUCGUGGUGGGAUCUGCUACUUAAACAGCAGCAUGGUAAGUUGGUUGACAAAGAAAAUCGGCCAAAGGAGGGUCUUGUCACUACAGGUGUAACUUCAGGUGCUUCUACCCAAGAUAAGAAAAGAUGCUAUGAAGCUGGUAAUUUAUGGAUGGAUUGGUCGAUUACAUCAUGUCAUUGUGCCCAGCUGCAGCAAAAGAAUCGAGGUAGCUCUUAGAGGCUAGUUGAAACUUGGGAAAGUCCUGUAGUGUACCAACGUACACAGUCCCACUAUUUUCUUGUUGCUCUAAUCCUUAAAGCUAGGACUAAGCUAGUACUGUGAGCAUAUUUGGAGUAACAACUGGAAACAAUAGCUUCAUAACAAUAUUUCUUAUGUUCCGGAGUGGAAUUUCAUUGUAUUUUUUUCAAACUUAGUUUAUGUUGUUGUAAGGAUUAGUGAUUAUCUGAUCAAAUUGGGUCUUUUAGUUUAUUUACAAUGGUAUAUGAAGGUAUAGAAAUCUACCGGAAUUAUUGUCGGAAUUAUCAUCGGAUUUUAUUUUUU